rnacentral:rRNA from 1 species
AGCGAACGCUGGCGGCAGGCCUAACACAUGCAAGUCGAACGGAUCCUUCGGGAUUAGUGGCGGACGGGUGAGUAACACGUGGGAACGUGCCCUUUGGUUCGGAACAACUCAGGGAAACUUGAGCUAAUACCGGAUGUGCCCUUCGGGGGAAAGAUUUAUCGCCAUUGGAGCGGCCCGCGUCUGAUUAGCUAGUUGGUGAGGUAAAGGCUCACCAAGGCGACGAUCAGUAGCUGGUCUGAGAGGAUGAUCAGCCACAGUGGGACUGAGACACGGCCCAAACUCCGACGGGAGGCAGCAGUGGGGAAUCUUGCGCAAGGGGCGAAAGCCUGACGCAGCCAUGCCGCGUGAAUGAUGAAGGUCUUAGGAUUGUAAAAUUCUUUCACCGGGGACGAUAAUGACGGUACCCGGGGAAGAAGCCCCGGCUAACUUCGUGCCAGCCGCCGCGGUAAAAC